CCUACGGGUGGCUGCAGUAGGGAAUAUUGCUCAAUGGGCGAAAGCCUGAAGCAGCAACGCCGCGUGCGCGAUGAAGGCCCUCGGGUCGUAAAGCGCUUUUCUGGGAGAUGAGAAAGGACAGUAUCUCAGGAAUAAGUCUCGGCUAACUACGUGCCAGCAGCCGCGGUAAAACGUAGGAGGCAAGCGUUAUCCGGAUUCACUGGGCGUAAAGCGCGUGCAGGCGGUUUGGUAAGUUGGAUAUGAAAGCUCUUGGCUUAACUAGGAGAGGCUAUUCAAUACUAUCAGACUUGAGGACGGUAGAGGAAGAUGGAAUUCCCGGUGUAGUGGUGAAAUGCGUAGAUAUCGGGAGGAACACCAGUGGCGAAAGCGAUCUUCUGGACCGUUUCUGACGCUCAGACGCGAAAGCUAGGGUAGUAAACGGGAUUAGAUACCCCGGUAGUC
rnacentral:rRNA from 1 species